GACAGAGGGGGCAAGCGUUGCUCGGAAUUACUGGGCGUAAAGGGCGCGUAGGCGGGAUGGCAAGUCGGUCGUGAAAUCCUUCGGCUCAACCGAAGAACGUCGAUCGAUACUGCUGUUCUUGAGGGUUGCAGAGGAGACUGGAAUUCCCGGUGUAGCGGUGAAAUGUGUAGAGAUCGGGAGGAACACCGGUGGCGAAGGCGGGUCUCUGGGCAAUUCCUGACGCUGAGGCGCGAAAGCGUGGGUAGCAAACAGG
rnacentral:rRNA from 1 species